UUGACUGAUUUGCUCUUUGCCAACCCUUUAAAAAAAUAAGCCAUGCCAUGAAUCAAAUUUUCAAAGGCAUUAAUGGGGAUGGACCCCACAAGAACCAUAUCAUCGAAGAAAAUAACUAUGCAGAGUUUGAAUCUUGACGUCCUAGUAACAAUCGUAGAAUAAUGAAGUUGACUAGAAUUUUGAAGAUUAGAAAAAAACAAUCUUCCCAUUGAAGUGAAUUUGAAGCAGAUUAGCUACCAUAGCUAUGAUAGAUAGAAUGAUACGACUGCUCCCUUAUGGACUUAUUCUAGAAGAAAAUUCAAAAAAGCAAGUGGAGAUAAUUUGUCUUAGUUAGUUUCAGCUAAAAUAAGAUAUAUAAGUAGUUAUCGAUUGAAGUUGUCAACAGUUAUAUACAGUAGCAACUAUCUGUCUAUGCCCUAUCUUUAUAUUUUAGUUUAAAUAUAUGUAUCUCGAGAAUUAUAAAAAAUAGAAGCAGUAUUAUUAUAAUUGUAUUUAGAGAUUUGUCCAGUCCAUAUGAACAUAGUUAUUGAUUAAUGCAGUAUUUAAGAUUCUUGCACUUUA